UACGGAGGGGGCUAGCGUUGUUCGGAAUUACUGGGCGUAAAGCGCACGUAGGCGGCUUUGUAAGUUAGAGGUGAAAGCCCAGGGCUUAACCCUGGAAUUGCCUUUAAGACUGCAUCGCUAGAAUUGUGGAGAGGUGAGUGGAAUUCCGAGUGUAGAGGUGAAAUUCGUAGAUAUUCGGAAGAACACCAGUGGCGAAGGCGACUCACUGGACCAUUACUGACGCUGAGGCUCGAAAGCUAGGGGAGCAAACAGG
rnacentral:rRNA from 1 species